GCCCACCUCAUUUAAUCAUGCAAAUAAAAUAUUAACAGAUCCAUCUGAAAUUGCAAAUCGGUUUUGUGAUCACUUCACUAAUGUUGGUCCUAACUUGGCAAGACAGAUACCAAGAGUGGAUACCCCAUUCAAUUCAUUCUUAACUGAUCGUACAAGAGAAACUAUGUUUAUGAACCCUACCAAUGUUAUUGAACUAUUUAAUAUCUGCCAAUC